AGUGAACGCUGGCGGCAUGCCUAACACAUGCAAGUCGAACGGCAGCACAGGUAGUGGCUCCUCUUACCGAGGGGCGGGCGGGGGAGGGAUAGGUAUGAAUCUGACCUUUAUUUUUGGAGGGGGCUGCGAAAGGGGGACUUAUACCACAAACGCAUAACGGCUAAGAGUGGAAGACCGGGGGGUUUCGACCUUUCGCGUUUGAAUAUGGCGAAGUCGGAUUAGCUAGUUGGCGGGGUAAAGGCCCACCAAGGCGACGAUCCGUAGCUGGUCUGAGAGGAUGAUCAGCCACACUGGAACUGAGACACGGUCCAGACUCCUACGGGAGGCAGCAGUGGGGAAUAUUGGACAAUGGGCGCAAGCCUGAUCCAGCCAUACCGCGUGGGUGAAGAAGGCCUUCGGGUUGUAAAGCCCUUUUGUUGGGAAAGAAAAGCAGCAGGUUAAUACCGCGCUGUUCUGACGGUACCCAAAGAAUAAGCACCGGCUAACUUCGUG
rnacentral:rRNA from 1 species